UACGUAGGGGGCGAGAGUUGUCCGGAUUUACUGGGUGUAAAGGGUGCUCAGGUGGAUUUGUAAGUCAGAGGUGAAAUCCCAAAGCUCAACUUUGGAGCUGCCUUUGAUACUGCAAAUCUGGAGUUUGGGAGAGGGUAAUGGAAUAUCUGGUGUAGCAGUGAAAUGCGUAGAUAUCAGAUAGAACACCAAUGGCGAAGGCAGUUGCCUGGCCCAAAACUGACGCUAAAGCAAGAAAGUGUGGGGAGCAAACAGG
rnacentral:rRNA from 1 species